rnacentral:rRNA from 1 species
CCCCAUACGCUUUGAGAAGGAAAGUGGGGGCUCUUCGGACCUCACGUUAUUCGAGCGGCCGAUGUCUGAUUAGCUAGUUGGUGGGGUAAAGGCCUACCAAGGCGACGAUCAGUAGCGGGUCUGAGAGGAUGAUCCGCCACACUGGGACUGAGACACGGCCCAGACUCCUACGGGAGGCAGCAGUGGGGAAUUUUGGACAAUGGGCGCAAGCCUGAUCCAGCCAUGCCGCGUGUCUGAAGAAGGGCUUCGGGUUGUAAAGGACUUUUGUUAGGGAAGAAAAGGAUAGUGUUAAUACCAUUAUCUGCUGACGGA